rnacentral:rRNA from 1 species
GGCGAACGGGUGAGCAACACGUGGGUGAUCUGCCCUGCACUUCGGGAUAAGCCUGGGAAACUGGGUCUAAUACCGGAUAGGACGAUGGUUUGGAUGCCAUUGUGGAAAGUUUUUCGGUGUGGGAUGAGCUCGCGGCCUAUCAGCUUGUUGGUGGGGUAAUGGCCUACCAAGGCGUCGACGGGUAGCCGGCCUGAGAGGGUGUACGGCCACAUUGGGACUGAGAUACGGCCCAG